GUAGGGAAUCUUCCACAAUGGACGAAAGUCUGAUGGAGCAACGCCGCGUGAGUGAAGAAGGUCUUCGGAUCGUAAAACUCUGUUGUUAGAGAAGAACGUGCAUGAUAGUAACUGAUCAUGUAAUGACGGUAUCUAACCAGAAAGCCACGGCUAACUACGUGCCAGCAGCCGCGGUAAUACGUAGGUGGCAAGCGUUGUCCGGAUUUAUUGGGCGUAAAGGGAACGCAGGCGGUUUUUUAAGUCUGAUGUGAAAGCCUUCGGCUUAACCGAAGAAUAGCAUUGGAAACUGGAAGACUUGAGUGCAGAAGAGGAGAGUGGAAUUCCUAGUGUAGCGGUGAAAUGCGUAGAUAUUAGGAGGAACACCAGUGGCGAAGGCGACUUUCUGGACUGUAACUGACGCUGAGGCUCGAAAGCCAGGGGAGCGAACGGGAUUAGAUACCCCGGUAGUCC
rnacentral:rRNA from 1 species